GCAUCUAUGGCUGAAUGGUCAAAGCGCCCAACUCAUAAUUGGGAAGUCACGGGUUCAAUUCCUGCUGGAUGCA
rnacentral:tRNA from 1 species